rnacentral:rRNA from 1 species
GCCAGACUCCUACGGGAGGCAGCAGUGGGGAAUAUUGCACAAUGGGGGAAACCCUGAUGCAGCGACGCCGCGUGAGUGAAGAAGUAUUUCGGUAUGUAAAGCUCUAUCAGCAGGAACGAGACAAGACGGUACCUGACUAAGAAGCCCCGGCUAACUACGUGCCAGCAGCCGCGGUAAUACGUAGGGGGCAAGCGUUAUCCGGAAUCACUGGGUGUAAAGGGAGCGUAGACGGCUGUGCAAGCCUGAAGUGAAAGGCGGGGGCCCAACCCCCGGACUGCUUUGGGAACUGUACGGCUGGAGUGCAGGAGAGGUAAGUGGAAUUCCUGGUGUAGCGGUGAAAUGCGUAGAUAUUAGGAGGAACACCGGUGGCGAAGGCGGCUUGCUGGACGGUAACUGACGUUGAGGCUCGAAAGCGUGGGGAGCAAACAGGAUUAGAUACCCUGGUA